GAUGUAAAUCGAAUGAUAUAUGGUAUGGGGUAGAUGGUUACAUUAGAUGUAAAUCCCAAGAGACCUAAAAUCUCUCUAAAUCAAUCGAGAGUAAACGAUACAUUAAGCUAGCCAUAUUUGAUUAAUUGAUCUAAUUGGUGUCUAGGCAAGCUCAAAGGUGGUUACUUAAUUUGGACCUUACUCUCUGAGUAAGGGGAGCCUCCCACCUGCUUACCUGGCCAAUUGAUCGAUUACCUCCUAUGAAAAACUCAAAGUUGGAAUCACUAAGAUCUGAUUACCCAAUAUUAAGUCGAUUGGUCUUCUACCGUAGUAGAGUUGCUAAGAUCUUUCCGGCAUUGAUUAGUCUCGGCUGGAUACAGUGAGCUAGUUGCAUUGAAGGAUUGGACCUCUCUAUUAACAUGAGAUGUUGUGGGGUAAAGGUGGGGUUGGGCUCCAAUAACUGUUAGGUGAGGAUCCAAUCACAGCUUUAUUUUCGCAGGAUAUACGGUGAAUCUGACUUAACCAAGGAACGGGUCCAAUAACUGUUAGGUGAGGUCCUUAUGACUUGAAGACCGGGUUAGCUCAAUAUGCUUACAAAGCAUUGUACAAGAGUUGUACACUCAUCGUCUAUGUGUCUCCAAUAACUAUUAGGUGAGGUGACAUGUAGAUUAGUGGAACCGCAGCACCCCACUCGAAACCCUAAGUUGCUGGUUUUCGUAUCUUUACCAGGGGGGUGUGAGAGAUCCG
rnacentral:lncRNA from 1 species